UGGCGACCAUAGCGUUUUGGACCCACCUGACUCCAUUCCGAACUCAGAAGUGAAACGAAAUAGCGCCGAUGGUAGUGUGGGG
rnacentral:rRNA from 1 species